rnacentral:rRNA from 1 species
GUGAGUCGUUGUAGCAAUACAAGGCAUACGGCUCAGUAACACGUAGUCAAUCUAACCUAUGGACGGGGAUAACCUCGGGAAACUGAGGAUAAUACCCGAUAGAUCAUCAUACCUGGAACGGUUUAUGGUCCAAAUGAUUCGUCGCCGUAGGGUGGGACUGUGGCCUAUCAGCUUGUUGGUGAGGUAAUGGCCCACCAAGGCUAUUACAGGUACGGGCUCUGAGAGGAGAAGCCCGGAGAUGGGUACUGAGACACGGACCCAGGCCCUAUGGGGCGCAGCAGGCGAGAAACCUUUGCAAUGUGCGCAAGCACGACAAGGUUAAUCCGAGUGUUUCCUGCUAAAGGAAUCUUUUGUUAGUUCUAAAACCACUGAUGAAUAAGGGGUGGGCAAGUUCUGGUGUCAGCCGCCGCGGUAAAACCAGCACCUCAAGUGGUCAGGAUGAUUAUUGGGCCUAAAGCAUCCGUAGCCUGUUUUGUAAGUUUCCGGUUAAAUCCAUUAGCUCAACUAAUGGGCUGCCGAAAAUACUGCAAAACUAGGGAGUGGGAGAGGUAGACGGUACUCGGUAGGAAGGGGUAAAAUCCUUUGAUCUAUUGAUGACCACCUGUGGCGAAGGCGGUCUACCAGAACACGUUCGACGGUGAGGGAUGAAAGCUGGGGGAGCAAACCGGAUUAGAUACCCGGGUAGUCCCAGCUGUAAACGAUGCAGACUCGGUGAUGCCCUGGCUUGUGGCCAGUGCAGU